rnacentral:rRNA from 1 species
ACGUAGGGUGCGAGCGUUAAUCGGAAUUACUGGGCGUAAAGCGUGCGCAGGCGGUUCGUUAAGUCAGAUGUGAAAGCCCCGAGCUCAACUUGGGAACUGCAUUUGAAACUGGCGGGCUGGAGCGUGGCAGAGGGGGGUGGAAUUCCACGUGUAGCGGUGAAAUGCGUAGAGAUGUGGAGGAACACCAAUGGCGAAGGCGACUCUCUGGUCUGUAACUGACGCUGAGGCGCGAAAGCGUGGGGAGCAAACAGGA